rnacentral:rRNA from 1 species
UACAGAGGGGGCAAGCGUUGUUCGGAAUUACUGGGCGUAAAGGGCGCGUAGGCGGCCUUCUAAGUCGAACGUGAAAUCCCCGGGCUCAACCCGGGAACGGCAUCCGAUACUGGAGGGCUUGAAUUCGGGAGAGGGAUGCAGAAUUCCAGGUGUAGCGGUGAAAUGCGUAGAUAUCUGGAGGAAUACCGGUGGCGAAGGCGGCAUCCUGGACCGAGAUUGACGCUGAGGAGCGAAAGCUAGGGGAGCAAACGGG